rnacentral:sRNA from 1 species
CGUGAAGGAUAACGUUGCGUCAGCAACGGCCCGAAGGGCAAGGCGAAGCCGAGUCAUCCUGCACGACCCACCA